rnacentral:lncRNA from 1 species
UUUAUCUUUUGAUUUCUUUCUCGUUGUCAUCUCAUAGGUUCCCCAUAGUUCCGAAAGAAUGUUGUUGAUUGGGCUUGCUUCAAUGAUAGGAAAGAUGCUUUCAUAGACUUUCUUUAGAAGUUUUUCCCCUAUUAAAGGUGGUUUGUAUCUCUCACCUCUCUUCAUUUCUUUUUCUUUCAAUUGUUUGAAGCCACAAAAUAAAUU